UACAGAGGUCUCAAGCGUUGUUCGGAUUCAUUGGGCGUAAAGGGUGCGUAGGUGGCGCUGUAAGUCGGGUGUGAAAUUUCGGAGCUUAACUCCGAAACUGCAUUCGAUACUGCGGUGCUUGAGGACUGGAGAGGAGACUGGAAUUCAUGGUGUAGCAGUGAAAUUCGUAGAUAUUCGGAAGAACACCAGUGGCGAAGGCGACUCACUGGACAUGUAUUGACGCUGAGGUGCGAAAGCGUGGGGAGCAAACAGG
rnacentral:rRNA from 1 species